rnacentral:lncRNA from 1 species
GGGCUGAGAUUUGUGGGGUUGGGAUCUGUGGGGUCUGGAUCUGUGGGGCAAGGAAAUCUAUGGGGCUGGGAUCUGUGGGGCAGGGAAAUCUAUGGGGCAGGGAAAUCUAUGGGGCUGGGAUCUGUGGGGCUGAGAUUUGUGGGGUUGGGAUCUGGGGGGUCCGGAUCUGUGGGGCAGGGAAAUCUAUGGGGCAGGGAAAUCUAUGGGGCUGGNNNNNNNNGGGGCUGAGAUUUGUGGGGUUGGGAUCUGUGGGGUCUGGAUCUGUGGGGCAGGGAAAUCUAUGGGGCAGGGAAAUCUAUGGGGCUGGGAUCUAUGGGGCAGGGAAAUCUAUGGGGCUGGGAUCUAUGGGGCAGGGAAAUCUAUGGGUCCAAAUCUAUGGGGCAGGGAAUUCUAUGGGGCAGGGAAUUCUAUGGGGCAGGGAAAUCUAUGGGGCUGAGACCUGCAGGUCUGGGAUCUGUGGGUCCGGAUCUGUGGGGCUGGAAUCUAUGGGGUGAAAAUUGUGCAACUCCGUUGCCGUUCCGGGAAUCGGUGGGGCCGCCCCACAACCCCCCGCCCCACAACUCCGCCCCACAACUCCGCCCCACAACAAAGCCGCCCUACAGGUCGCUGCCCCGAGGGGCCCCGCUCGCCUCAUUAAGGACGAAGGUCAUUAAGGGCGGAGUUAAUUAGCGGAUAAACGCGCAGAUCCACGGAGACCCCAUAGCGACCCCAAACCCCAUAGAAACCCCAUAGGGAUCCUAUAGGGACCCCAAAUCCCAUAGAGACCCCAAAUCCCGUAGAGACCCCAUAGAGACCCCAUAGGGACCCCAUAGGGACCCCAAACCCCAUAGAGACCCCAUAGGGACCCCAUAGAGACCCCAAAUCCCAUAGGGACCCCAUAGGGACCCCAUAGGGACCCCAAAUCCCAUAGAGACCCCAUAGGGCCCCCAAACCCCAUAGACCCCCCAUAGGGACCCCAUAGAGACCCCAGAUCCCAUAGGGACCCCAUAGAGACCCCAUAGGGACCCCAAACCCCAUAGAGAUCCCAUAGGGACCCCAUAGGGAUCCCAUAAAGACCCCCAGACCCCAUUGAGACCCCAUAGAGACCCAAAACCCCAUAGAGAUCCCAUAGAGACCCACAGAGACCCCAUAGAGACCCCAAAUCCCAUGGAGACCCCAUAGAGACCCCAUAGAGACCAAUAGAGACCCCAAACCCCAUAGACCCCAU